rnacentral:rRNA from 1 species
CAGCCGCCGCGGGAAUACGAAGGGUGCAAGCGUUACUCGGAAUUACUGGGCGUAAAGCGUGCGUAGGUGGUGGUUUAAGUCCGUUGUGAAAGCCCUGGGCUCAACCUGGGAACUGCGCUUAAGACUGGUGUGCUUGAGGAUGGAAGAGGGUUGUGGAAUUCCCAGUGUAGAGGUGAAAUUCGUAGAUAUUGGGAAGAACACCGGUGGCGAAGGCGGCUCACUGGACCAUUACUGACGCUGAGGUGCGAAAGCGUGGGGAGCAAACAGGAUUAGAUACCCCUGUAGUCCCUGUCUCUUAUAC